AGAGAGAGACAUGCGCGCAUAUUCAAUAAGCGGAGGAAAAGAAACUAACUAGGAUUCCCUCAGUAACGGCGAGUGAAGCGGGAAGAGCUCGAAUUUGAAAUCUUAAAGGUUCUACCUUGACGAAUUGUAGUUUAAAGAAGUGGUUUCUGUUGGAGUUUUGGUAAAAGUUCUUUGGAAUAGGACAUCAUAGAGGGUGAGAAUCCCGUAUUUGACCAUUAUUUCCAGCUUUGUGAUACACUUUCAAAGAGUCGGAUUGUUUGGGAAUGCAGUCCAAAAUGGGUGGUAAAUUUCAUCUAAAGCUAAAUAUUGGCGAGAGACCGAUAGCGAACAAGUACCGUGAGGGAAAGAUGAAAAGAACUUUGAAAAGAGAGUUAAACAGUCACGUGAAAUUGUCAAAAGGGAAGCGUUUGACACCAGUGUUGUUUUCUCGAAAAUCAAUUAAAAAAGGCAGGAUUUUGUGUUGUAUUGACUUUAUCAGCUUUCUGUACUCUUUUCUUGUCUUUUUUAAUGCACUUUUCGUUUAACAAGUCAACAUCAAUUUCUUUUGUUGUAAAAGGGUCAUUGGAAGGUGGCUUUCUUUUCGGAGAAAGUGUUUAUAGCCUUUGGCCUCUGCAAUCGGAGAGAUUGAGGUCUGCAGCGUAGAUCCUUCGGGGUUAGAUACAUUUGUGCUAAGUUAUAGCCUUUCAUAGACAACUUGUUGACUAUGAUCAGUCAUGUAGCUUACUCGCUUAUGCUAUUUUACCUACGCUUAGGAUGUUGAUGUGAUACUGCGAGCA
rnacentral:rRNA from 1 species